UGGUUUUCCAUCAGAUGACUGGGGUUAAAGUAGCCUCCAUUUUUUCCUAAAGCCCACGGAGCACAUUUUAAUGCGUUGAAUUGAGUUUGGGAAAUCCAUGUUGUAUGAGUACGAGCCAUUCUAUAUAUGGUUAGUUGAUCUGCGUCCAGUUAUGCCAGGAUGUCUUUUGAAGAAUGUCUCAGUUUGUGCUCUUUAUAGCAGUGAACUUGGAGGAAAGCCAAAAUAUCCGUUUGCCGUUGUUACUGUGAGAAAAAUAGCAAUUGCAGCUGUUUGCCAUUAGUUUUGAAUCUGAUGUUUUUGGAGCAGUUUAGUUCCAGCCAAACUGAAUCUUUGAACCAAGGUCAGUGUGCUAGGCUUAAACUGAAAUGUUUUCUCUUAAAUGCCGAACAAGCAUUUCAACGUCAUUUCAAAAAAGGGAAGAAAUUUGUCUGAAUCCAUUUUUAGGGACUGAGUCACCGCUAAUCAGCCAUGCGCUGCCUGAAUGAGAGGUCCUAGUCAGGACCCAACUUGGAGCUCGAGUCCUGCUGACAUCCUAUGAAAAAGUUCUGCACAUGGCAACUGUCAGCUUACUUAUCUUGCCAAAAGCAGGAGAGGCUUGCUGUAUAAAAUGGGGAAUAAAUAGCUCCAAAGUUCUGGUCUUCAAAAAAUAAAUAACAUAUUAAAAAAUGUGAUCUUUCUUCGCAGCUGUAGUUUGAAUUGAAGUGGAAUUGGACCACAAGCUCCAGUGCUGGGAGAAAGUUCAUCUUACAGUGGCUCCUUCAAAUUAGGUUCGCCCUCAAGUUACAUAUGCCAAAGGCCAGCAUUCCCUGACAUUCAGGUGCUGCCUGGCCUGCUGAGUUCCUCCAGCAUUUUGUGACUGCUUUGGGGCUGAUGGCUUAAAAAAAAAUCUGAGAAGCACCAGAAUAAUUCUUUAGGCUAUCAGGAAGUAAUCGACCUGCAAGUGUGUUCUGAUUCUUUUCAGUCCUUCACAGUAUAUUGCUGUCUCAAACAAUGCUGGCAUUUAUUGUCCCCAGGACUCUAGAGACAGAUCAGUUAAACUACAUUGAUUCAUU